rnacentral:rRNA from 1 species
UGGGGGAUAUUGUACAAUGGGGGGAACCCUGAUGCAGCGACGCCGCGUGGGUGAAGAAGCGCCUCGGCGCGUAAAGCCCUGUCAGCAGGGAAGAAAAUGACGGUACCUGAAGAAGAAGCCCCGGCUAACUACGUGCC